GACGAACGCUGGCGGCGUGCUUAAUACAUGCAAGUAGGACGCAGUUGCGAACGGGUGAGUAACGCGUAGGUAACUACCUAUUAGAGGGGGAUAACUAGUGGAAACGAUAGCUAAUACCGCAUACUAGUAGAUGGACCUGCUUUGUAUUAGCUAGUAGGUAGGGUAAUGGCCUAACUAGGCAAAGGUACAUAGCCGACCUGAGAGGGUGAUCGGCGCCACUGGGCAUGAGACCCGGCCCAGGAACCUACGGGCGGCCGCAGUAGGGAAUCUUCGGAAAUGGGGGGAACCCUGACCCAGCAACGCCGCGUGAGUGAAGAAGGUUUUCUGAUCGUAAAGCUCUUUUGUGAAGAAAGCGGUACUUACCCAGAAAGGGACGGCUAACUACGUGCCAGCAGCCGCGGUAAUAC
rnacentral:rRNA from 1 species